GGGUGGUGAGGUUGCUCAGUGGUCUGGUGUCAAGAAGAUAUGACUUCAAAUGUGGCUGCUAAUACUUACUAGCUGUGCUCUAAUCACAGGUUGGAUUUCUUCAGAUGUUGACAACCUAUGGCUACCUUCCUUCUUGGGUCCCAAUUUCUGGAGGAAGGAUAUGUAAAAUAUGAGGGUGCUGGACUGGAUGAUCUCAAGCAUUCUUUCCAGACACAGAAUUUGAUGAGUCUACGAGCUGCUUUCAAAUUAUUCUCUAGGAGGAAGGGAGAUGGACCAGCCCUCCACAAAAUUGUCCAAAAGGAUGAUGAUUGUCUUUGUGAGUUUUUGUGCACAAAGAUACCUGUGUAUGAAGAUUUAAGUGGAAAAGUCGAUGCACAGAGACAGUCCCACUCUCUUGGCUUUGGAAGCCUGGGUCCAGUGGCACAAAAAGUCGUUACACCUGGAGACUUCCUCAGCUGCAUUGGGUGGCCGUGUUGUCCUUUGUGCUCCUACACGCCCUAAGCACUCCACAGUGCCUUGCUGCGUCGCCAUCUCAGCCGUUGAACCUUCUUGUUGGUUUCUUCCACCUCUUCCGCCGAAGCAGUCUUCACAUGCUGGGUGAGCAAAGCCCUAGUUCACCAGGGGUCAACGUUGACCCGAUGGCUACCCUCACAAGGUUUAGCCGGCCUGUCGAAGCCGUUGCCCGGGGUGUGGCUGCUGGAGAUGCCAGGGAUAUAAAGAAAAAGAUCCCAGUAGUUCCUUCCCUCAAGGAGCUUAUGUUCUAUUGGAUAAGGGACUUAAUGACAAAAUACUGAGCACUUAUAGUGUUCAGAGAACACAGGGAUGCUGUGUUUCCUGUAGAGAGGAGAACAGGAUGGAGAAAGCAGAGAAAACAAAAGAUCUUCCUCCAUCCCUCAACCUUGCCUCACUCAGCACCAUUUCUGCUCUAGCAUAGAUCAGUUUCUUUAUGUAUAUUGUUAAAUGAAAUGGAAUUGAAUCAAAUCGCUGCGGCUCCUAAAGAGUCCUGAAGCCUCUAAGGUCCAGCUAGUCAUCAGAGCAAGUUGCCUACAUUGGUGAAAUUGCUAGGGACAGGGGGAAAACAUUUCUUAGAUAAUUCCUAGCUCUGUGACCUCGGGGAAGCCAAUUUCCUGUCCCUUACCACUCUUCUGCCUUGAAACCAAUACAUAAUACUGAUUUUAAGACAAAAGAUUAAAUAAAUAAAUGAAAGCUUGUUUAUUGACUGCCCCU
rnacentral:lncRNA from 1 species